rnacentral:lncRNA from 1 species
GGCCACUCCUAGGGAAAAUAGCAGCAGUGCUGAACUUUCUCCAUUUAUAGACAAUUUGUCUUACCGUGGACUGAUGAACAGCAAGGCUUUUGGAGAUACUUUUAUAUCCCUUUCCAGCUUUAUGCAAGUCAACAAUUCUUCUGAGAGCUCUUUUGUGCGAGGCAUCAUUCACAUCAGGCAAUGCUUCUUGUGAAAAGCAAACCCAGAACUGGUGUGUGUUUUUUAUAGGGCAGGGCAGCUGUAACCAACACCUCCAAUCUCAUCUCAUUAAUUGGAAUCCAGUUGGCUGACAUCUCACUCCAAUUAGCUCUUG